rnacentral:rRNA from 1 species
UACGGAGGGUGCAAGCGUUAUCCGGAUUCACUGGGUUUAAAGGGUGUGUAGGCGGGUAUUUAAGUCAGUUGUGAAAUCUCCGGGCUCAACCCGGAAACUGCCAUUGAUACUAUUUAUCUUGAAUAUUGUUGAGGUAGGCGGAAUAUAUCAUGUAGCGGUGAAAUGCUUAGAUAUGAUAUAGAACACCGAUUGCGAAGGCAGCUUACUAAACAAUUAUUGACGCUGAGGCACGAAAGCGUGGGGAUCAAACAGG